AUUGAACGCUGGCGGCAGGCUUAACACAUGCAAGUCGAGCGGGGUGAUGGUGCUUGCACUAUCACUUAGCGGCGGACGGGUGAGUAAUGCUUAGGAAUCUGCCUAUUAGUGGGGGACAACAUCUCGAAAGGGAUGCUAAUACCGCAUGCGUCCUACGGGAGAAAGCAGGGGAUCACUUGUGACCUUGCGCUAAUAGAUGAGCCUAAGUCGGAUUAGCUAGUUGGUGGGGUAAAGGCCUACCAAGGCGACGAUCUGUAGCGGGUCUGAGAGGAUGAUCCGCCGCACUGGGAAUGAGACACGGCCCAGACUCGUACGGGAGGCAGCAGUGGGGAAUAUUGGACAAUGGGGGGAACCCUGAUCCAGCCAUGCCGCGUGUGUGAAGAAGGCCUUAUGGUUGUAAAGCACUUUAAGCGAGGAGGAGGCUCUUUUGGUUAAUACCCAAGAUGAGUGGACGUUACUCGCAGAAUAAGCACCGGCUAACUCUGUGCCAGCAGCGCAGUAA
rnacentral:rRNA from 1 species